GGGGAAUAUUGCACAAUGGGCGCAAGCCUGAUGCAGCGACGCCGCGUGAGGGAUGACGGCCUUCGGGUUGUAAACCUCUUUCAGUACAGAACAAGGCCUUCGGGUUGAGGGUAUGUGCAGAAGAAGCGCCGGCUAACUACGUGCCAGCAGCCGCGGUAAUACGUAGGGCGCGAGCGUUGUCCGGAAUUAUUGGGCGUAAAGAGCUCGUAGGCGGUUUGUCGCGUCUGCCGUGAAAUCCUCUGGCUUAACUGGGGGCGUGCGGUGGGUACGGGCAGACUGGAGUGCGGUAGGGGAGACUGGAAUUCCUGGUGUAGCGGUGGAAUGCGCAGAUAUCAGGAGGAACACCGGUGGCGAAGGCGGGUCUCUGGGCCGUUACUGACGCUGAGGAGCGAAAGCAUGGGGAGCGAAC
rnacentral:rRNA from 1 species